rnacentral:rRNA from 1 species
UAGGGAAUCUUCCACAAUGGGUGAAAGCCUGAUGGAGCAACGCCGCGUGUGUGAUGAAGGCUUUCGGGUCGUAAAGCACUGUUGUAUGGGAAGAACAGCUAGAAUAGGAAAUGAUUCUAGUUUGACGGUACCAUACCAGAAAGGGACGGCUAAAUACGUACCAG